GAAAUGCGAUAAGUAAUGUGAAUUGCAGAAUUCAGUGAAUCAUCGAAUCUUUGAACGCACAUUGCGCCCGCCAGUAUUCUGGCGGGCAUGCCUGUCCGAGCGUCAUUUCAACCUUCAAGCCCCCGGGCUUGUGUUGGGGACCUGCGGCUGCCCGCAGGCCCUGAAAACCAGUGGCGGGCUCGCUGUCACACCGAGCGUAGUAGCAAUCACCUCGCUCAGGGCGUGCUGCGGGUUCCGGCCGUUAAACAGCCUUACAAAACCCAAGGUUGACCUCGGAUCAGGUAGGAAGACCCGCUGAACUUAAGC
rnacentral:misc_RNA from 1 species